GUUCUCUCAGGUUCAGGUUUUCUGCAUCUUGGAGAACCUCACACAGUUCUUCUGAAUAUUUGGUUCUCACUUUGGUUCUGCAGUAAAACCAGAACAGACUCAUUAUGGGUUUAUCUGAAAUGUCCUCUAUUACUGAGCACUUCUAGAACAUUCGUCUCUGUAACUUUUCAUAUAAAAUGUAACUACUUGUAUAAGUAAUAAAACCUAGUUGUGUUAAUUUUCUACUCACACAUUAAUGACAAACAAAAUCAAAUAAACAGCUCUUCAUUUAUUAAAAAAAAUGAAGUCAGGGGGCAGUGUUGUGUGUAAUAGACAUUUAUUAUUUAAUUCAAGGACAACGCCCAUUAAAAACAGGGAAGGACAGAUCUCUGUGGGCUAAACUGUGUGUGUGUGUGUGUGUGUGUGUGUGUGUGUGUGUGUGUGUGUGUGUGAUCGAUCACUGAAAUAAACGAUAAUGGACUUACAGUCAUUUAAUGAGAAAAACUUUACAGCCUUUAAAUUUUACAAGUUUAGCAGUAAUUUGUUUUAAUUAAAAAUGUAAUGUAAUUAAAAAUCCCCAAAUUGUGCAGAAGCUCAGCGUUUUAAUAGCCAUAAAGCCAAAAUAACAAAAGGGGAAUUUACAUAUUUACAGUUUUAUUUUAAUAAAAAUAAUAAUAAAAAUAAACUCGGCAAACGUCUCUCCUACAUCUUAUAUUUUCUGUCCUGACUGCUAUGACGUUGUGUUUGUUAGAGCGACACUAAGCCAGAACGAGCCGUGUUCCAGGAAGAAGAUCAGAUUAUCAGGUUUUUCAGGAACGAGUUAAUUUGAUGAGCAAAUAAACAACACGGACUAACACCUUUAACACCGUCUUCUAGAUCUGUCUCUCUCUCAGUCUGGAGCUUUAACAGUCUGGUGUUAUGGGUGGGGUUUAGUCAGAAUUCCUUCAGGAGCUGGUGGGGGUUGGAUUGAGAAACCAGUCCCACACACGUCUAACACAGAGCUGUGUACCCUGUAUCUGAUCUGAUGUCUGAUAUUUGAUCUGAACAAUACGGCUGUAAUGUGAGAAGCGUAAACACUGAAAGCUGCUGAUUUGCUGAAGCUCGUUUUUUACCUGAACUUUCUGACACUUGGGUCUUUGCUAACUUUAAUGUUGCUAGUCAGAGCAUGCAAAUAUUCAAAUAUUACACACUGAUGCCUGAAGCCACGCCCUAACCCCUGCAGGAUUUCUCAGGGAUUAAUCAGUUUAUAAAUAUGUUUAUGACGAGACAAACACAAGCAGGAAUACUAAUUCAGACAGAACUCAGUUAAUAGACUCUGAAAUCUACUUCCUAUAAUCCCAUCAAACUAGGCUGAAAUGAUCUCAAAUAAUAUCAAACAUUACCAAGUUCACGCUUUAACGCUUACUGUACAGGAUGUACACACUGUAAAUGUGUAAAUGGUUUAUGUGACGCAAACACUGAACAUUUAUGACCAAUUGUGAACAGAAGUAUGUUCAAUUAAAAAAUAAAAACUCAUUAAAAU
ensembl:lncRNA